GUAAAAUGUUAUGAUUUAUUUCGAUAUAAGUCCACUUUCAAGACUAUAGUGCAUCUACUGUGUGUAUGACCAAGAAUAGUACCAUGAACAAAACAGAAGCAGGUGAGAGAUAAACAGACCAUAAUGCAGCAGCCUAAUAACCACAGCAGCCGGUCUCCUAAGGUGAAGGAGAAGGACCCUCACCAGUGGUUGGAGGACAGAAGCUCAGAACCCUGGAACAGGCCCAACCUCAGUGACAAGCUGCAGGCUCUCUUAUAUGACACCCUAUUCCCUAUAUAGGACUUUAUCCAGUUCCAAUGUCAUGCAUUUCCUUACAAGGAAACAAUUGGAGAAUUACAGUAACAGAUAAUCACACUAAGGAUGUCUUUGGAACUGACCCUGAUGAUGAUGUCGUCUAUGGCUGUCUCACAUGACUCACUAUUCACUAUAUAGUGCACUACUUUGACUAGAGCCCAGUCUUUUCCAUUAAGUGCACCACUUGUGACCAGAGCUACAUUGUGACAAGACCGGCUCUGUAGUAAACACUAGGAUUUAACAGUAUAAUCAGCCUACUAGUGUGUGGGUGUAUGCUGUCUUUUCUAACCCUGUCUUUACGCCCACUGAUGGUGAUACAGGACAAGAGCCUGGAGACGGUGGAUGCUACCCAUUCAGCACCCUGGAAUAAACCACAACUCCUCAACAGCAAGUCUCUUCCAAGUUCCAGUACCAAUACCUUACACUCUCUCUUGGCGAUCUUAUCCAGUGAGAGGAUGGGGCGUUCGGGGGGAAGGUAGAGGGGUCGACCCACUGGAGAUCCCACUGGAGGAGUGAUGGCCCGGCGCUCCAUAACACUGCCCGUCCUGCAACACACACACACGGACAGAUACAGACAGACGCAACAGACAGGCACACACACAAGAUGGGGAUGAUUAGGAGAGAGUUCAAAGAGCCUGAGAGCGGUCAAGGAGGCACUGCCAGAACGUGGGGAUUACAGUAUGGUUGGGUGUGCGUGUUUGACUGAAUGCUAAUGUGUGUGUGUCUACGUGUGUGUUCUGCCUUCAAGUUAAAUCUAAAAGGGGAAUAUACACUUGAUGUUUUUCCUCCCCGAUCUAUACAACCUACUGUACAUUCUCAAAGUGAAUGAGAACUACAUACCUACGUAAUCAAAACACCUUUGUUUUAUUCAUUUUUUAAAAUUCAUUAUUCGUUUUAUUCAUUUGGAAAAUGUUCUAUAAAUGUUAAUAAUUUUCUGAAAAUGUGGAGUAGGUUGUGUAGAUCGAUAGGGAAGCAAAUGUAAUGUAUUCCUAUUUAGAUUACAUUUUAAGGCAGCAAGACUUUCACUAGCGACUGUAUAUACGCGUCAGUGUCUCCUACCUCAUAAGAUGUGACCGUGAGGGUUGUUGGUGAGAGAAGCUCUGUGACCGUCCCAUACUCUGUCUGUCCAGCAGGUCUCUAACAGCAGGGCUGGAGGGAGAGUUGUGACGGGACAGGGACAGAGACAUGGGCCUGGCCUCAGCAGGGGGGUUGGAACAGGACGCUGUGAACUGGAGCUUCAGCUUCAUGUGCUGGCUUAACUGGAGAGGAAGAGGAGGGUGAGUGAGUAAUGUUUGGUCAGACAAGACAAGACAGUCAGACAGACAGGAAGUGAGUGUGAGUGUGUUGGUACCUCAAACAGUCCUGCCUUGAGAAUCUGGAAGGCAACUGUGAAGGAGAGGGUGGAUCCUUUCCGACACUGUCCCAAGUUGUUGAGGGGGGAGUGACACACCACAGAACUCGCUGACGGGUCCUCCUGCCGACCACGUCCUGGGGGGAGGAAGGAAGAGAGGGUGGUGUUUAGUUUAACCAAGGAGAGAGCAAUAUAAUAUAACCUAAAGUCAUUAUGUUCCUCUGGUAUGUAGUCAGUUAGUUAGGGGCUUUGUUACAAAUCAUGACUGGAUGUUAGACAGGAUUCACCCCUCAUCUACCACUACACAUCUCCCUCCCUCCCUCCCAACAACCUCUCCAUUAUUUAUUUUUUCCGCUUUCCUCCAUCUUCACUCUCUCUUUCCAUUCCUCUUCCAAUCUCUCUCUAUCACUGUUUUCCCCCCUCCAUAAUGAUUAUCUCUUCUCACCUUCGGGUGUCCAGACCAGGCGUACAGCCAGGAAGUCCUGCAGGUUGUUGAGGAGGGUGUAUUUGACCCGGAAGUGUUCCAGCGGCCUCACGGAACUCUGACAAGAAGCUGUCAUCACUAAACGGGGGCGGUCCAGUCUCACGCUGGGUAGCUGGUAGUGGGUCGAAAUGUACCUGGGGAAGGGAAGUGAAGAAGGUCAAAUCAGGUAAUAAUGAGGGAGGUAUAUUUGGACAGAUAAUAGAGUUAAUGAAGAGUAGUUAUUAUGGGAUAGUUCCAACAAAUACUGGGUGUACACUUAUCUUGUGAAGGGAAGGCUUGUAGUUAUGCUUGUAGUUAUAAUAGGAUAGUUACAGUGCAUUCGGAAAGUAUUGGGACCCCUUCCCACAUUUAGUUACGUUACAGCCUUAUUCUAAAAUGGAUUCAAAUACUUUUUCCCCCCUCAUCAAUCUAUACACAAUACCCCAUAAUGAC